AGGGCGCUGCUUCCCCAUCCUCUGGGCUAUCCAGGGGGCUCGGCUCAUUUUCUGGCAUUGUUGUGCCUGUGGAAAACAAGCUGGGAGAGCCUGUAGUUUCAAGUUGCUGAAUCUUUGAAAAACUCAGGCAAGAGGUUCAGUCUUUGAAGUCAUUUUCCCUUUGGGAGCUGAUCCUGACGCAUGAGUAGCAGGAGUCUCUUUGUUGAACAAGUCAACCAUCAGCCGCAGACCCACUUUGGAGUCUCCUGGGAAAGUGUGAACAUGCCAGCAAACAGCCUACAUCAAAGACAUUUCAAUUCUGCAACAAGCCUUUCUGCUUCGGACUCCCCAAAACUUGAUGCAUGGCAUAGGUCCCAAGAUGGAAAGAGGCUGUAAAGAUUUUGAGGAGGAAUUUCAUAGAAGAAGAGGAGAACAGUCUUCACUGUUUGCUUAUCGAGGGCAGUAGAGGGGCCCCUGCUUCAUGACCUUCAUUCUGUGUGUGCUGUAAACAUUGAAGAGAUCGUAAAAGUCUGCAUGAAAUUGAAUUUGAAGAUCAAUCUUUCUCAAUCAGUUUCUUUUGGAAAAAUGCCCUGAAAGUAAAUUUCGCGCCAACUCAGGCCACCAUGAGUUCAUCUAUCACCUCCGACUCCGAUCUAGCACUCUUCAUGCUGGCCCUCUCCCACUGCGUACCUGUAACUUCUGUUUUCCUAGAGCAAGAAACUUGCUCUUAUUAUCCCAGCAUAUUCUCUUAUUGGUUCAAGUGCAGUAUAUGUAUAUUUUCAGAAUAAACAGUAAAUGUGAGAAACACAUUACUGAUUAGAGUGCAAAGGUAGUGGAAAAUUAGUUCUGUCUUUAGGCUUACAUGAUCUAAUAAAAU